GUGACUGCGUACCUUUUGUAUAAUGGGUCAGCGACUUAUAUUCUGUAGCAAGGUUAACCGAAUAGGGGAGCCGGAGGGAAACCGAGUCUUAAUUGGGCGUUAAGUUGCAGGGUAUAGACCCGAAACCCGGUGAUCUAGCCAUGGGCAGGUUGAAGGUUGGGUAACACUAACUGGAGGACCGAACCGACUAAUGUUGAAAAAUUAGCGGAUGACCUGUGGCUGGGGGUGAAAGGCCAAUCAAACCGGGAGAUAGCUGGUUCUCCCCGAAAGCUAUUUAGGUAGCGCCUCGUGAAUUCAUCUCCGGGGGUAGAGCACUGUUUCGGCUAGGGGGCCAUCCCGGCUUACCAACCCGAUGCAAACUGCGAAUACCGGAGAAUGUUAUCACGGGAGACACACGGCGGGUGCUAACGUCCGUCGUGAAGAGGGAAACAACCCAGACCGCCAGCUAAGGUCCCAAAGUCAUGGUUAAGUGGGAAACGAUGUGGGAAGGCCCAGACAGCCAGGAUGUUGGCUUAGAAGCAGCCAUCAUUUAAAGAAAGCGUAAUAGCUCACUGGUCGAGUCGGCCUGCGCGGAAGAUGUAACGGGGCUAAACCAUGCACCGAAGCUGCGGCAGCGACACUGUGUGUUGUUGGGUAGGGGAGCGUUCUGUAAGCCUGUGAAGGUGUGUCGUGAGGCAUGCUGGAGGUAUCAGAAGUGCGAAUGCUGACAUAAGUAACGAUAAAGCGGGUGAAAAGCCCGCUCGCCGGAAGACCAAGGGUUCCUGUCCAACGUUAAUCGGGGCAGGGUGAGUCGACCCCUAAGGCGAGGCCGAAAGGCGUAGUCGAUGGGAAACGGGUUAAUAUUCCCGUACUUGGUGUUACUGCGAAGGGGGGACGGAGAAGGCUAUGUUGGCCGGGCGACGGUUGUCCCGGUUUAAGCGUGUAGGUGUGUGUUCCAGGUAAAUCCGGUUCACUUUAACACUGAGGCGUGACGACGAGGCACUACGGUGCUGAAGCAACAAAUGCCCUGCUUCCAGGAAAAGCCUCUAAGCAUCAGGUAACAUCAAAUCGUACCCCAAACCGACACAGGUGGUCAGGUAGAGAAUACCAAGGCGCUUGAGAGAACUCGGGUGAAGGAACUAGGCAAAAUGGUGCCGUAACUUCGGGAGAAGGCACGCUGACACGUAGGUGAAGUGAUUUACUCAUGGAGCUGAAGUCAGUCGAAGAUACCAGCUGGCUGCAACUGUUUAUUAAAAACACAGCACUGUGCAAACACGAAAGUGGACGUAUACGGUGUGACGCCUGCCCGGUGCCGGAAGGUUAAUUGAUGGGGUCAGCGCAAGCGAAGCUCCUGAUCGAAGCCCCGGUAAACGGCGGCCGUAACUAUAACGGUCCUAAGGUAGCGAAAUUCCUUGUCGGGUAAGUUCCGACCUGCACGAAUGGCGUAAUGAUGGCCAGGCUGUCUCCACCCGAGACUCAGUGAAAUUGAACUCGCUGUGAAGAUGCAGUGUACCCGCGGCAAGACGGAAAGACCCCGUGAACCUUUACUAUAGCUUGACACUGAACAUUGAGCCUUGAUGUGUAGGAUAGGUGGGAGGCUUUGAAGUGUGGACGCCAGUCUGCAUGGAGCCGACCUUGAAAUACCACCCUUUAAUGUUUGAUGUUCUAACGUGGACCCGUUACCCGGGUUGCGGACAGUGUCUGGUGGGUAGUUUGACUGGGGCGGUCUCCUCCUAAAGAGUAACGGAGGAGCACGAAGGUUGGCUAAUCCUGGUCGGACAUCAGGAGGUUAGUGCAAUGGCAUAAGCCAGCUUGACUGCGAGCGUGACGGCGCGAGCAGGUGCGAAAGCAGGUCAUAGUGAUCCGGUGGUUCUGAAUGGAAGGGCCAUCGCUCAACGGAUAAAAGGUACUCCGGGGAUAACAGGCUGAUACCGCCCAAGAGUUCAUAUCGACGGCGGUGUUUGGCACCUCGAUGUCGGCUCAUCACAUCCUGGGGCUGAAGUAGGUCCCAAGGGUAUGGCUGUUCGCCAUUUAAAGUGGUACGCGAGCUGGGUUUAGAACGUCGUGAGACAGUUCGGUCCCUAUCUGCCGUGGGCGCUGGAGAACUGAGGGGGGCUGCUCCUAGUACGAGAGGACCGGAGUGGACGCAUCACUGGUGUUCGGGUUGUCAUGCCAAUGGCACUGCCCGGUAGCUAAAUGCGGAAGAGAUAAGUGCUGAAAGCAUCUAAGCACGAAACUUGCCCCGAGAUGAGUUCUCCCUGAGACUUAAAGUCUCCUGAAGGAACGUUGAAGACGACGACGUUGAUAGGCCGGGUGUGUAAGCGCAGCGAUGCGUUGAGCUAACCGGUACUAAUGAACCGUGAGGCUUAACCUU
rnacentral:rRNA from 2 species